CAGCUGCGAGACUUGGUGUGAAUUGCAGGACACAUUGAGCACUGAUUUUUCGAACGCGCAUUGCGGCCUCGGGUCCUGCCCGGGGCCUCGCCUGUCUGAGGGUCGGAUAAGACUUGCAAAGGAAUUAAUUUUUCCAUUUGGCCGCACCGGAUCGCUUAGGUGGUCCGCCGGCUCAAGGUCUACGGAUCCUCCCUGGCCGAGAAGCGUGGCUCCCACCGACCAACGCUCGCGGGCUGGAGAAGACUGAGUAGUUUCUCCGCUGAAGCGAGUUGUGGAGCGAGCGCAAAGAGCAUGCCUGGAGAUAUCCAAAACUUUUAUAAAAACAUUGUCGACCUCAGAUCAGACGAGAUGACCCGCUGAAUUUAA
rnacentral:misc_RNA from 1 species